rnacentral:tRNA from 1 species
AAGGGUACAGCUCAAGUGGUAGAGUGCAUGCUUAGCAUGCACGAGGUCCUGGGUUCAAUCCCCAGUGCCUUCA